rnacentral:rRNA from 1 species
UACGUAGGGUGCAAGCGUUGUCCGGAAUUAUUGGGCGUAAAGAGCUCGUAGGCGGCUUGGCAAGUCGGGUGUGAAAACUCCAGGCUCAACCUGGAGACGCCACCCGAUACUGCCAUGGCUAGAGUCCGGUAGGGGACCACGGAAUUCCUGGUGUAGCGGUGAAAUGCGCAGAUAUCAGGAGGAACACCGGUGGCGAAGGCGGUGGUCUGGGCCGGAACUGACGCUGAGGAGCGAAAGCGUGGGGAGCGAACAGG